GGGACAAAAUUACUCACUCACUGAAGUCCAAAGUCACAGGCUAAUUUCCAACAUGAUCUCCGCAACGUUUCACCUCCUUGACUUCACUAUGCUGGCUCUGUAUACUAAAUAGAUUGCUUGAAAGUAAUUUAUCCCAUUUAAUAUUUAAGAGCCAGCUCAACCAGGCUUGUGCAAGGUAUUGGAAAACCAGACAAAUGGCUGGUGCCGCUAUUUUACCCUUUAUCGCUAUUUGUGCAACCAGUCCUGUCCUUUACUGUGCUGUUCUCCCUCGAUCCACAUGGCUGCAUGCACAGAAGGUUAGGAGCGUAGUGUGCAGUCUGAUGCCUUGAAGCGCCAGGUCUGAUUUUAAUCCUUAAUCUGGUUCUGAAUUCAGCCCUUCUUGCAGGAGAAUUUCACUAAACUUGGCCAUAAUGCAUAGCAAACAGUUUAUCCAUUAAGUGGAACCCAAAAAUGCUGUAAUGUCUAUUGAAGCACAUAAUACACAGUCAUUUUUAAAUCAUCUGUACCAUACAUGCCUAUUGUUUUUAUUAAAUCUUGCAUUUCAACAGCCCUUCUAUAGGUACUUUUAAAAAAAAAAAAAAAUUAGCCCCCCGAGACUGUAUUGGGAGCAGAAAAACUGUAGUGUCCUUUGUGUGCAAGGUAAUAAAGCAUGUGAAAGCCCAAAACACGUCUAGUGAAUUGUAAAACCUGAGUGCUACUAACACCAGAUGUCCCUUAAAUAAAUGGCUUGUACUGGUCUUGGUUUUCUCCAAGCUCUCUGGCAGUGAAAUAGUAACUCAGAGCCAGAUAAGUGAGCAAAGAGAUUUCUUGGUCACUUCACUGGCUUUAACGGGACUGAUAAGCACCACAUCCCCCACUUUCCUCUUACAUUUGUCAUUGCUCAGUAUAGCCAUAUUUAACUAUGGAUGCUCUUUGUACAUAAUAUUGAUUCUCAGGCUGAAGCUUCCUGUUUUUGUAGUAUACAUCGGUUCUUGUACAUUGUGUCACACAUACAGUCCUUGGGUUGUGCCUAGAUAUCUGAAAACAGGAAUAUAUCCAGAGAAAUAAAAAAAAACUAACAUGUUUAAUAAGAUUCAAA